AGACCCGAAACCCGGUGAUCUAGCCAUGGGCAGGUUGAAGGUUGGGUAACACUAACUGGAGGACCGAACCGACUAAUGUUGAAAAAUUAGCGGAUGACCUGUGGCUGGGGGUGAAAGGCCAAUCAAACCGGGAGAUAGCUGGUUCUCCCCGAAAGCUAUUUAGGUAGCGCCUCGUGAAUUCAUCUCCGGGGGUAGAGCACUGUUUCGGCUAGGGGGCCAUCCCGGCUUACCAACCCGAUGCAAACUGCGAAUACCGGAGAAUGUUAUCACGGGAGACACACGGCGGGUGCUAACGUCCGUCGUGAAGAGGGAAACAACCCAGACCGCCAGCUAAGGUCCCAAAGUCAUGGUUAAGUGGGAAACGAUGUGGGAAGGCCCAGACAGCCAGGAUGUUGGCUUAGAAGCAGCCAUCAUUUAAAGAAAGCGUAAUAGCUCACUGGUCGAGUCGGCCUGCGCGGAAGAUGUAACGGGGCUAAACCAUGCACCGAAGCUGCGGCAGCGAACGUAUCACUUAAAGCGAUUCAGCGGGUUACGAUUGACGGAGCGAAGCGACGUCAAAGCGUAUACAAAGUCGAGUCGGUUUAAGGAUACGUUCGUUGGGUAGGGGAGCGUUCUGUAAGCCUGUGAAGGUGGCCUGUGAGGGUUGCUGGAGGUAUCAGAAGUGCGAAUGCUGACAUAAGUAACGAUAAAGCGGGUGAAAAGCCCGCUCGCCGGAAGACCAAGGGUUCCUGUCCAACGUUAAUCGGGGCAGGGUGAGUCGACCCCUAAGGCGAGGCCGAAAGGCGUAGUCGAUGGGAAACGGGUUAAUAUUCCCGUACUUGGUGUUACUGCGAAGGGGGGACGGAGAAGGCUAUGUUGGCCGGGCGACGGUUGUCCCGGUUUAAGCGUGUAGGUGUGUGUUCCAGGUAAAUCCGGUUCACUUUAACACUGAGGCGUGACGACGAGGCACUACGGUGCUGAAGCAACAAAUGCCCUGCUUCCAGGAAAAGCCUCUAAGCAUCAGGUAACAUCAAAUCGUACCCCAAACCGACACAGGUGGUCAGGUAGAGAAUACCAAGGCGCUUGAGAGAACUCGGGUGAAGGAACUAGGCAAAAUGGUGCCGUAACUUCGGGAGAAGGCACGCU
rnacentral:rRNA from 1 species